UAAAAUUAUGUUCUUUUUUUAUGGUUCCAAUGGCGCUCACUGGAUGAUUCAGAUGUUUAGAAAUGCCAGCGACAACCAUUGCUAUCAGUAUGUUUCAUAACAUUAAGACUUUUCUGGGAAGGUGUCUUUGCUUUCACCAAUCGUAGCACUCUGUGCAAUACUUUGGUAAUGAGAACCCAUCAUUUCAUAUUAAACCAGCUGAUAAUUUGCAAAUAGUGGCAAUAAUGCUUUAUAAAUACUGACAGAUUUCAGCUGGUUUCUUGUCUUUUUAUGCCUUUUUGCCCAUCCCUUUCUUCAUGUGUUUAAUAUUUAUUUUACCUGUUGUAUUUUGUCAUUAUUUGUUUCUAACGCUGUUCUAAAUUCAGGCCCCUCCCUGUGUUAGCACCCCAUGUAAAGAAUGUGCUAAUAGCUUUAAAAUAAAUGUAUCUUAUUGCAGUAGAAUAAAUCCACCCUGAAAUUAUUUUUUAAAAAUUUCAAGCUUAAAUUUGAGCGCCUUUAUUCAAUGGGAGAAAUUUCCAAAAUUCUGAAAUAAUGGUGCCACACUUUUUGGCACUCAAGACAGCAACUGAAGACCAUUUAAUUAUUUGAUAGUUUAAUAUACAUUCUUUUACAGUUCAAUGAUUACAAAUUACUUUAUAAAUUGAUCCGUGUUUAAGAACUCUUAACUGGUACUCCCUGACUGACUUUUCAUGGUUUACAAAUAUGGUGUGACACAGAGGCCCUUUACUCUUAGCCACUCAGACAGAAAAACAUGCCAUUUAACUAAAGCAGGAGUUGGUUACAAGAAAACAGCUACUCACUGAACCUUGCCCAGUCAGAGCAAUAAAAAACAACUUAAACUCGACAAGCACCACUUGACGAGGACUCAAAUUUAUCUUGCCACCACACAAGAUAAGGCAGAUAAUAGAUUUCAAAAGCUCAAUGUUGUCUUAGGUUGACCAAAUCUUUAUAGGAACCAUUAGAUGCUAAUAUUUUCCAUAUAGAAGUUCUUCUGGAUGUAUGCCAAAAAAAAAACUUUUCUGUCCUACUACAAAUGCGAACAAGUGAAAUUUACUAACCUCUAGUGAGGAUUUAACUGGAAGCAAGUCUCCAUAACAACCAUUUUUCUUUACACAUUUUUAUCAGGCAUGCCAAUAAAUAUAAAGGAGCACUGUAAAAUAUAUAUGGUCUGGACAUUGUGAUAAAAACAGGUACCUCCCCCACUCCAUCCCCACUCCAGUUGAUAUCCUUUUACACCCAAAUAGGUGUAGGUUUAUGAUGGUGUGUGUACAGUUUAGCAAAAACAUUCUUCCUACUGCCAGUAGAUUUAGAUGUUAAAUGAUUUGUGUUGUUUGUUUGUUUGUUUGUUCAUUACAGUAAAUAAGGCAGGCAGAUUUACUUUCUCUUAAUAGAUAGUAAAUCAAGGUAAAAUGAGUAUUAAUUUAGAAAUAGAAAAUGGCAUGUCAGAAAUUAUGUAUACCCUUUUUAAUAAUCAAUGGAAACAUCUUCAUUGCCAUUACAGUACUUAAACCUUAUUGCUGAUUAGCUCGCUGCAUGUUUUUGUCAGGAUCUGUGUGCUGUUGUUGUUGUUGCUCUGUGCUUGGCCUCUAGGUGGCUCCGGGGUCGUCAGGAGUGAUGGCAGGUGUUCCAUGUCCCACUAAUCAUCCCUGGAAGGUAUUUAUGAUGGUUGCCGCCAGCAGUUCAGCGCCAGUGUUGCCCUCAGUGACUGGAUUACUAUACCAGACCUAACCUUUGAAGAAUCCUAAUCUUCCUGGAUGUUUUGCUACUGGAGAAAGGGUUUCCUAGCCAUGAGGAUUGUAUUCGGCUUACCAACACUUUGCUUCCUAAGGGACUGCUGGCGGCCAAUCCGACGGAGCUUUUCCUGGAUCAACUACGAACCACCACAAGCAAAUCCUGUCCACCCUCCCACAUUAUAACAUCACCAGCCGAACCUCUGAGUCACCUUAAGUGAGUCCAAGUUCCUACCAGCUUCAUUCAUCUCAGUGUGCAGUUUCCAUUGCUGACUCGCCCCUCCUGGCGGAUCAAACUCAACCUUUUAGUGCACAGACUCUGCGAGCUCCUCGUCAUGCCUGGGCGGAAGAUGAAACGGUACCUCCAGCUGGAAGAGCGAGUGCUGUGUGGGCUUCCUGAAGUGGUGCAGCACUGGGUCAUUGAGAGCCGCAGUGCAUACUUGGGAACAGAGCAGCAAUCUGUGUUAUUUCAGCAGCAGCCUGUCGGAUGAAGGGCCCUUCCAUGGGCAUUAUGGAUUAAUCUUUGGCAGGAUCUCAGCUGGAUCAGCCCAAAAAUGGGAUGUUUAACCUCACAUGUAAUAGAACUUCUGUGAUAAAGCAGGAUAGAGAGGAUUGAAUGUGACCCACAUUGGGAUUGUGUUCUAAAUGUAUUACCUUUAUUGACUGUUUAUGAGGGUAUGUGCUGAAGGGUACAUUAUAUGCUCUGCCAAUCCACAAUGAUAUUCUAAAGAAGCCAUCGCAUCACCACUUAAAAAAAUAGAUGUUAGCUAAUUUUGAGCUACUGCACUAUUAUGGCUAUUAUUUUUUAAAUGCACCAAUCAGACACCCAGAUCAGAAUUAGCAAUGUUUUUUUGUUGUGUUUAAACAGUGAUUGGUUGGUUACUAUACUGAAAAUGUUGGUCCCUUGCCC